CAGCAGCCGCGGGAAUACCAGCACCUCGAGUGGUCAGGAGGUUUAUUGGGCCUAAAGCAUCCGUAGCCGGUUGCAUAAGUUUUCGGUUAAAUCUAUGCGCUUAACGUAUAGGCCGCCGAAAAUACUGUGCAGCUAGGGAGUGGGAGAGGUACACGGUACUCGAUAGGAAGGGGUAAAAUCCUUUGAUCUAUUGAUGACCACCUGUGGCGAAGGCGGUGUACCAGAACACGUUCGACGGUAAGGGAUGAAAGCUGGGGGAGCAAACCGGAUUAGAUACCCGUGUAGUCCCUGUCUCUUAUAC
rnacentral:rRNA from 1 species